UCUGCCCCACGGGGAAGGAUGAGAAGCUUCGACUAAGGUUCGACUCGAGCGAAGCGAGAGAACGUUGCCGCAGGCAACGGCCCGAAGGGCGAAGCGCUUUAGCGCCGAGUAAUCCUUCCCCCACCACUG
rnacentral:sRNA from 1 species